rnacentral:tRNA from 1 species
GCCCGGGUGGCGGAAAUGGCAGACGCGCAUGGUUGAGGGCCAUGUGGGCAAAGCCUGUGCGGGUUCAAAUCCCGCCCCGGGCA